UACGGAGGGUGCGAGCGUUGUCCGGAAUCACUGGGCGUAAAGAGCGCGUAGGCGGCGCGGUACGACCGCUGUGAAAGCCCCCAGCUCAACUGGGGAGGGUCAGCGGUAACGGCCGUGCUUUGAGUGCAGGAGAGGGAAGUGGAACUCCGGGAGUAGCGGUGAAAUGCGUAGAGACCCGGAGGAACACCAGUGGCGAAGGCGGCUUCCUGGUCUGCGACUGACGCUGUGGCGCGAAAGCUAGGGGAGCAAACGGG
rnacentral:rRNA from 1 species